AAUUUAAUGCCUAAGUUUGAGUUUAUUGAAUGUUUCAGUCCAAAAUCUGUUGUGUCCUGAAGCGGAAGUUUUGGGACGUUCAGCAUAACAAU